ensembl:lncRNA
CUCAGAUGCUCUUAUCUAGGGCAACUUGCACAUGUUUUCAGGCUGUUAUGACCAUGGUACCCCCUGCCCUGGACUCACAAGCACCAUAAUCUGGCCAACUGAGCAACAAGACUACGUUAUUAUACUCCUAUAGAUGAUGAUGACAAUGUCGUUCCCUCACAGAAGUUAGCAUCAAGAGUGGUCGUUCUUCAUUCUGCUCAUAAUCUUCCUUCUCUCUUUUCUUCAUUGGUUCAUAUCCACAGGUAACUGGUCUUGUAUAGAAACCUCAACACGGAUGUGUGUGUGUGUGUGUGUGUGUGUGUGGUGUGUGUGUGUGUGUGUGUGUGUGUACUACUAAGUGGACCAGAAAUCCAGAACCAGAAGUAUUGACAAAUAUAGUGACCAAUGGCAAAUUUGGAGAAGACCUGGUAAUCACUUGUAAGUAAUAUGAAAGAGGCUAUUUUAGGCUUUGGGUUGAGGUUAGAGUUAGCGUUGUCACUAGGUUUAUGUUUAGAGUUAGCGUUGUCAUUCGGUUUAUGGUCAGAGUUAGCAUUGUCACUAGAUUUAUUGUAUGAGUUAACACUGUCACUGGGUUUAUGGUUAGAGCUAGGGUUUUCACUAGGUUUAUGGUUAGAGUUAGCAUUGUCACUAGGUUUAUGGUCAGAGUUAUCAAUUGCCCUAGGGUUUAUGGUUACAGUUAGCGUUGUCACUAGAUUUAUGGUUAGAGCUAAUGUUGUCACUAGAUUUAUGGUCAGAGUUAGCGUUGUCACUAAGUUUUUGGUUAAAGUUAGCAUUCUCACUAGAUUUAUGGUCAGUUAGCAUUGUCACUAGGUUUAUAGAGUUAGCAUUGUCACUAGGUUUAUGGUAAGAGUUAGCAUUGUUAUUAGGUUAAUGUAUAGAGCUAGUGUUUUCACUAGGUUUACGGUGAGAGCUAAUGUUGUCACUAGGUUUAUGGUUAGAGCUAGCGUUGUCACUAGGUUUAUGGUGAGAGCUAGUGUUUUUACUAGGUUUAUGGUUAGAUGUUUAAUAAAUUGUUGUCUUCCAAAAGUCAAUCUCGAAUAGCAAAACAAGUUUGUCUGUGAGGCCCAUUCAAAACUCAAUUUUUGUACAGCAGCUUCACCACAGAUGUUUCCUUGGCAACCCUACUAGGUCAUCCAAUGGGAAGAGGGGGCUGGGUAAGGAGGGAAUUGGGGGGGGCUGAUAGGAGUCAGAGAGGUGCAGUGACACAGUCUAUCUAUGUCUCAGAUUUACCUCAAGUUACUCUCCCUCCCUUUUUCUCUCCCUCCCUCCCUCCCUC